UUUCCGUAGGUGAACCUGCGGAAGGAUCAUUAUUGAAACUUCAUCCGGCGCGCCGCGGCCCUCAGCACCGGUGGAAACCCCGUGUUGCGGGGGCCGCGCGUGCACCCGUCCACACCAAACCCCCGUGACCCUUACGCGAUGGCCUGGGUUAGCGCCCGGUGCCGUUCCGCUUUAUACAAACACUUAUCAAAGAAUGAACUGAAGGCGGUUUGGCCGCUAGAUAACAAAAAUGAAACAACUUUCAACAACGGAUCUCUUGGCUCUC
rnacentral:misc_RNA from 1 species